rnacentral:rRNA from 1 species
UACGGGGGGAGCAAGCGUUGUUCGGAUUUACUGGGCGUAAAGGGCGCGUAGGCGGUCAGCACAAGUCAGUUGUGAAAUCUCCGGGCUUAACUCGGAAAGGUCAACUGAUACUGUGCGGCUAGAGUGCAGAAGGGGCAACUGGAAUUCUCGGUGUAGCGGUGAAAUGCGUAGAUAUCGAGAGGAACACCUGUGGUGUAGACAGCUUACUGGACCACUUCUGACGCUGAGACACGAAAGCGUGGGUAGCAAACAGG